AAGGGAGACCUAAUUCAGGUAGGAGACGAAAAAAAAGUAGUCCCUACCAAGAAUCAAUCCCAAAAGGUCGGAGCGAGGCAAAAUUGGCUUUCAAACUAGGUUCUGGGUUCACACAAGACCUGAAUCAGGAACAAGGGCUAUUAACUCAGGUGGUUAGAGCGCACCCCUGAUAAGGGUGAGGUCCCUGGUUCGAGUCCAGGAUGGCCCACCUGUACAGGUGGCAAAAACAAAGAAAAGAAGCGAGGAAUCAGCACCUUAUCUUACUUAUAUAGUAAGAGAGAAUGCUGGCUCUGAGUACAGAGUCCAGAGGAACCUUGAAAACUGCAUAGAGCUAGGUGAAAAAGCCAAAAAAGAAGACCGCAA
rnacentral:tRNA from 1 species